rnacentral:rRNA from 10 species
AGAGUUUGAUCAUGGCUCAGAUUGAACGCUGGCGGCAGGCCUAACACAUGCAAGUCGAACGGUAACAGGAAGCAGCUUGCUGCUUCGCUGACGAGUGGCGGACGGGUGAGUAAUGUCUGGGAAGCUGCCUGAUGGAGGGGGAUAACUACUGGAAACGGUAGCUAAUACCGCAUAAUGUCGCAAGACCAAAGAGGGGGACCUUCGGGCCUCUUGCCAUCGGAUGUGCCCAGAUGGGAUUAGCUUGUUGGUGGGGUAACGGCUCACCAAGGCGACGAUCCCUAGCUGGUCUGAGAGGAUGACCAGCCACACUGGAACUGAGACACGGUCCAGACUCCUACGGGAGGCAGCAGUGGGGAAUAUUGCACAAUGGGCGCAAGCCUGAUGCAGCCAUGCCGCGUGUAUGAAGAAGGCCUUCGGGUUGUAAAGUACUUUCAGCGGGGAGGAAGGGAGUAAAGUUAAUACCUUUGCUCAUUGACGUUACCCGCAGAAGAAGCACCGGCUAACUCCGUGCCAGCAGCCGCGGUAAUACGGAGGGUGCAAGCGUUAAUCGGAAUUACUGGGCGUAAAGCGCACGCAGGCGGUUUGUUAAGUCAGAUGUGAAAUCCCCGGGCUCAACCUGGGAACUGCAUCUGAUACUGGCAAGCUUGAGUCUCGUAGAGGGGGGUAGAAUUCCAGGUGUAGCGGUGAAAUGCGUAGAGAUCUGGAGGAAUACCGGUGGCGAAGGCGGCCCCCUGGACGAAGACUGACGCUCAGGUGCGAAAGCGUGGGGAGCAAACAGGAUUAGAUACCCUGGUAGUCCACGCCGUAAACGAUGUCGACUUGGAGGUUGUGCCCUUGAGGCGUGGCUUCCGGAGCUAACGCGUUAAGUCGACCGCCUGGGGAGUACGGCCGCAAGGUUAAAACUCAAAUGAAUUGACGGGGGCCCGCACAAGCGGUGGAGCAUGUGGUUUAAUUCGAUGCAACGCGAAGAACCUUACCUGGUCUUGACAUCCACGGAAGUUUUCAGAGAUGAGAAUGUGCCUUCGGGAACCGUGAGACAGGUGCUGCAUGGCUGUCGUCAGCUCGUGUUGUGAAAUGUUGGGUUAAGUCCCGCAACGAGCGCAACCCUUAUCCUUUGUUGCCAGCGGUCCGGCCGGGAACUCAAAGGAGACUGCCAGUGAUAAACUGGAGGAAGGUGGGGAUGACGUCAAGUCAUCAUGGCCCUUACGACCAGGGCUACACACGUGCUACAAUGGCGCAUACAAAGAGAAGCGACCUCGCGAGAGCAAGCGGACCUCAUAAAGUGCGUCGUAGUCCGGAUUGGAGUCUGCAACUCGACUCCAUGAAGUCGGAAUCGCUAGUAAUCGUGGAUCAGAAUGCCACGGUGAAUACGUUCCCGGGCCUUGUACACACCGCCCGUCACACCAUGGGAGUGGGUUGCAAAAGAAGUAGGUAGCUUAACCUUCGGGAGGGCGCUUACCACUUUGUGAUUCAUGACUGGGGUGAAGUCGUAACAAGGUAACCGUAGGGGAACCUGCGGUUG